rnacentral:rRNA from 7 species
AAAACGACUCUCGGCAACGGAUAUCUCGGCUCUCGCAUCGAUGAAGAACGUAGCGAAAUGCGAUACUUGGUGUGAAUUGCAGAAUCCCGUGAACCAUCGAGUCUUUGAACGCAAGUUGCGCCCGAAGCCUUUUGGUCGAGGGCACGUCUGCCUGGGCGUCACGC